UGGGGAAUCUUCCGCAAUGGGCGAAAGCCUGACGGAGCAACGCCGCGUGAGUGAAGACGGCCUUCGGGUUGUAAAACUCUGUGAUUCGGGACGAAAGAUAAGCAGACGAAUAAUCUGCAUAAGUGACGGUACCGAAAAAGCAAGCCACGGCUAACUACGUGCCAGCAGCCGCGGUAAUACGUAGGUGGCAAGCGUUGUCCGGAAUUAUUGGGCGUAAAGCGCGCGCAGGCGGCUACUUAAGUCCAUCUUAAAAGUGCGGGGCUUAACCCCGUGAUGGGAUGGAAACUGAGAAGCUGGAGUGUCGGAGAGGAAAGUGGAAUUCCUAGUGUAGCGGUGAAAUGCGUAGAGAUUAGGAAGAAUACCGGUGGCGAAGGCGACUUUCUGGACGACAACUGACGCUUAGGCGCGAAAGCGUGGGGAGCAAACAGG
rnacentral:rRNA from 1 species